GAGUAAAGCAAUAGCUGUCCAAUAUGACAAAAUUCAAAAGUGGAUUGAUCGCCAGGGUUGAUUCGGCUGAUCUGGCUGGCUAGGCGGGUGUCCCCCUCCUCCCUCACAGAUCAUGUGCGUCCUUCCCGAAGCUGCGCCCUUGGUUGAAGAGGACAACCUUCCCCCCACCCCCGAGGAGAGGACCAGUCUUCGGUCAAGGGUAUACGAGUAGCUGCGCUCCCCUGCAAGAACCUCCAAACAAGCUCUCAAAAGUGGUAUGGUUAUGGAUUUGCUUAAAAUGCAGUUGAUAAAACGUUUGCUUUCCUAU
ensembl:misc_RNA 7SK 7SK RNA